UCAAAACAGCUUGAUAUACAACAGAAAAGACAGGAGCGUUCAGUGCAUUAGCAGAUGGAGGAACACAUGGAAUGCUACAGCUGGACUUAUAAACAGGGAUUUGGAUAUGAUUCUCUCAUAGAAGCAUGUGAAACUACACAUUAUCUUGUGGGAAUCUGCAGAAUGUUAUUACAUUCAGGAGAAGGAUGCUGGUGCCCCAUCCACCCGACCCACAGAACCAACAACUCCAAUACCGAAAGUACGUGUGAGUGAUGUUGUUGCGUGUGUCUGACUCUCCUACCUUGGCCUGCUGUAACUAUGUGAGUGAGAUGUUAAGUAAAAUUCCUGAACUAAAUGUUUUAAUCAUUCUAGAUUGCAGCCGGUAGCAACAAGAAGAAGCGCUGCGAUGUGUAUGGACCCAAGAAGGACAGGAAGACACAGUACACAUGCAUCAAGCGCAAGAAAUACAUUUGCAACACACACACAGUAAAACUCUGCCCCUCAUGUGGUGUGUAGCCUGGCCUUAAUUUGGUUCAAUUGGGCUCAUUUCCAUAAAACACUAUGUAAUAUUUGUCUUUCCAAUU
rnacentral:lncRNA from 1 species